GGAUCCAGACUUUGAUUAUGGCUCAGGAUGAACGCUAGCUACAGGCUUAACACAUGCAAGUCGAGGGGAAACGAUAUUGGAAGCUUGCUUCCGAUAGGCGUCGACCGGCGCACGGGUGAGUAACGCGUAUCCAACCUGCCCAUCACUUGGGGAUAACCUUGCGAAAGUAAGAUUAAUACCCAAUGGUAUCUCAAGAAGACAUCUGAAUGAGAUUAAAGAUUCAUCGGUGAUGGAUGGGGAUGCGUCUGAUUAGCUUGUUGGCGGGGUAACGGCCCACCAAGGCGACGAUCAGUAGGGGUUCUGAGAGGAAGGUCCCCCACAUUGGAACUGAGACACGGUCCAAACUCCUACGGGAGGCAGCAGUGAGGAAUAUUGGUCAAUGGGCGAGAGCCUGAACCAGCCAAGUAGCGUGCAGGAAGACGGCCCUAUGGGUUGUAAACUGCUUUUAUAAGGGAAUAAAGUGAGCCUCGUGAGGCUUUUUGCAUGUACCUUAUGAAUAAGGACCGGCUAAUUCCGUGCCAGCAGCCGCGGUAAUACGGAAGGUCCGGGCGUUAUCCGGAUUUAUUGGGUUUAAAGGGAGCGUAGGCCGGAGAUUAAGCGUGUUGUGAAAUGUAGAUGCUCAACAUCUGCACUGCAGCGCGAACUGGUUUCCUUGAGUACGCACAAAGUGGGCGGAAUUCGUGGUGUAGCGGUGAAAUGCUUAGAUAUCACGAAGAACUCCGAUUGCGAAGGCAGCUCACUGGAGCGCAACUGACGCUGAAGCUCGAAAGUGCGGGUAUCGAACAGGAUUAGAUACCCUGGUAGUCCGCACGGUAAACGAUGGAUGCCCGCUGUUGGUCUGAAUAGGUCAGCGGCCAAGCGAAAGCAUUAAGCAUCCCACCUGGGGAGUACGCCGGCAACGGUGCAACUCAAAUGAAUUGACGG
rnacentral:rRNA from 1 species